AUUGCUUCUCUGCCUUUUGGCUAAGAUCAAGGUAGUAUCUGUUCUUAUCAGUUUAAUAUCUGAUACAUCCCUCAGCGGGGGACUACAUUUUUUUUGGGACAGUAG
ensembl:snRNA U2 U2 spliceosomal RNA